AGGGAGACGUGACUAUUGCUGCAAAAGCUGGCUUGAAAUUGGAAAUUCCAGAUGGGGUUGUAAUUGAGAAUAAGGAGAUUAAUGACCCUGCAGAUAUCCAAAAAUGAAUGGUUCAUGGAAGUUGAUGAUAUUUGUUUGUAGCAAAUAUGUGAAUUGCUGGAGUUUUGCUUUGAUGUGCAAUACAAUUUAUCUUUGGCACAUUAGCAGCCCGCCAUCAAUUAGCUUUUCUAUUUACUCAUUUUCAAAAGGUUGCAGAAGCAAAUAAUUUCUGACACAUUCUUUUUUCAAGUGUCAUGGUGGUAAUGAAAUAAUUGAGUCUACUCAUUU